CAGUCGCCGCGGUAAUACGGAGGGUGCAAGCGUUAUCCGGAUUUAUUGGGUUUUAAGGGUCCGUAGGCGGAUCUGUAAGUCAGUGGUGAAAUCUCACAGCUUAACUGUGAAACUGCCAUUGAUACUGCAGGUCUUGAGUAAAUUUGAAGUGGCUGGAAUAAGUAGUGUAGCGGUGAAAUGCAUAGAUAUUACUUAGAACACCAAUUGCGAAGGCAGGUCACUAAGAUUUAACUGACGCUGAUGGACGAAAGCGUGGGGAGCGAACAGGAUUAGAUACCCGAGUAGUCCCUGUCUCUUAUAC
rnacentral:rRNA from 1 species